CCACGAGCCAAAACAAACCCUCCUUCCAUUAAGUCACCUUUUUGGCUGUUAUUUGAUCAUUUCAAUAAGAAAUAUAGCUAAUGAACCUUACGUUAAUUCUCUGGGAGGGAAAUCUAAAUCUAAGAAAGUGUCCACUGUGUAGUGGCUCCUUUGCCAUGUGCCUGGAGUUACAGCAGACCCCAAAGGUGUUGAUAAGAGAAGGACACUGAAUUGACCAAGAUGUUCUUUCAGAGUGAAGUUGCCAGGGAGAUGACCCAAGGUUCCAAAUAGGAAUCUGAGGCCUGGCAUCUAAUCUAUAUUCCAUAUGUGCUCCUUGACACUGACUUAGCAACAUUGGCCCACUGGUUGGUGGUAUACCAUUUUCCCCGUGGCUGGAUUCUGGUUUUCCCUUCCUUUUUAUUUAAUAAGACUCAUGACUUAAAUAAAAGGUUAAAAAGUAGCAACUGGGUGGCCCUGAAACAGAGACUCCUGGCCCAGAGCUCCUGACCGGUGUCUUUUUGACAGCUUUCAAGCUGAGCCUCAAAUGUUGCAUCUCAUCAAACAUGGUUCCUUCCAGACCCAAUUUCUAAAUUCACACACCAGAUGAAGUGUUCUCCGCCUGGAGAUGAUCAGGAUGCGGACUCGGCCAAACGGGAGCAGCUUGCCUUCUAGGCCACAGACUUGCGGCCCACCUUGGAGGCUGAAACGAAGCUACUGUACUCGCAUCCCAGCCUCACCCAGAAGCAUGGGCUUUCCAGCCAUGGCUCCUGCAACCUGCUUUCUCCGACUGCCUCGCCGCACCCCUCUCUAAGAGCUGUGCUCUUCUGUGUGGCGAGGCUGGUGGAAAGUUGACCAUCCAAGCCAAGAGCCAACACAGCCAGUGCUGGAUAAAUGACUUGAAGUGCUUUCUCAAGGGACCCUUUCCAGGUACAGGAGCGCCUCGUAACCAGAUUCGGCCAGAGCUGGCAGACCGCCUUGUUCGGGAGCACAGUAAAAAUCAAACUACAGACACCGUUUAGAAAGCAUAGAAAGCCCAAUGCUAACAUCUUAUGUAUUGAAACACUGUUACAUAAAACUGACCACAAAGCCCCAAAUUCAUACUUUCCUACUUUGUGAGGCUGGUUACCACCAGGAAUAAACCCGUGGAAGUGUGAGGCUGACUGUGUAGCCUCAAGAGGCCUAAGCAUAAGGCCGAACCUCGUUCCAAACCUUGGGGGCGAGAUCAAUGCCCUGGCCCUUGAGAGCAGCCAGGCCUGCGGCAAGGUGAGGGAGCCGGAGCUGUGGUCUCACCACACGAGUCUGGGGGCAAACACCAGCCUGAGCCAGGGCAGACCCAAUAGUUGCUUCCGGGACCCCUUUCAUGUACCUCAUAAAGCCCCAGACACAUUGGCACAGUUCGCAGGAUUUAAUGAAGCGUAGGCCCUGCCUGGAGCCAAGGGGGCAUUAGGGACUCAGAAUGAGGCUCUUUCAUACCCAGAGAGAUGGUGAUGCCGGAGGCCAGACUUCUGCAAUAGCUUUCUGCUGAGAAACUCAUCAUGGAACUCUUCUGGUUUUCCUCAGCAUGUCGGUGACAUCCACAGCAGCCAGAACCUCUACAUCCAGAAAUCAGCAAAGCAAGAGAAGAGGCACUACAAGAACUGUGACUCUGCUCCUGCCGAGACCUCAACGACUCCAGACAGCAAAUACAGAAAUGGUCUCUUCUCCGAAGAUGGCCUGGAGUCAGGAGAAAGAGGUGCUUGGAAGUCAGGCCCUCCCAUAUUUCAGCACCGGUGCUGCUAUGUCCCACUGUGAAAACUCGAGUUCCAAGCCCUCCACACUUCCUGCUAGCAAGUGGAGCUGAGGAUACACAAGAAAUAGACGAAUUCGUCUGGAAGGAGUGCGGUCAAGAUCUUGGCAUCUAGAGUGGAGACCAUAAGAACCACCCGAAUGUGGGAAUGGCUUUGGCACAGAGUAUGGGUGGAAACUGGAGGAGCGGAGAGGAUUCUGAGGGAAGCUUUAGUGAAAUGUGGAAGUUCAGUGAGCACAUGGUUUAUAUGACAGAAACAGAGAGCUUCAUAGCCACUGGAAAUCAGCUGGGAAGAAAGGUCGCCGGUGAGCUGAGUGGCCCAGCGGAGAAUAUGGCAGCCAGGGUUAAGUGUUAACCAGCUUCUUCCUAGGGACAAUAACCAAUACAGUGUAUUUCAGUUCUCUUGUAGUUAUAACCAAAUACUUGACACACAUCCUAAAGGGAACGCACAUAUUUUAUGUCUUCACGAACUUCCACCCAUCCAUAGCUCCAUUGACUCUAAGCCCUUAGUGAAGCAGAGCAGCGCUGUGGUAGACAAGGUGGCUGUUCACUUCACGGUGGACAGGAAGCAGAGAGAAAGACAAACUUGGAACCAGGUAUAGCCUUCAAAGUCGGGCCCUAGUGACCACAUCUCCCAAAACCAUGUCAUCUGCUGAGGACAAAGUAUUUUAGAGGCGAGCCCGUGAGGGACAAUUCGAUCUCGAACCACACCAGACUGGUAUGUGAUAGACUUGAGUGAUGGCUGUUCUUGGUUGUCAGCUCUAGUACAUCUGGAAUUAACCAAAACCCAAAUGGCUAGGCACUCCUGGGAGGGAUUUUUUUUUCUUAAUUAAAUCAAGUGGGAAGACAAAAUCCUAAUUCAAAUCUUUGAGGCGGGAAGACCCAUCUUUAACCUGGGCCACAUCUUCUGCUGUCAGCCUACAUAAACAUGAAGAAGUAAACACUCACUCUCUGCUUGUUCUCCCCUUGCUGGCCAGUCUAUUCCUUCACUGCCAUUAGAGCCUACUUCUUCACAAGUCCAGUAUCUGCUGAAGACCGGCUGAAACUCCAGCUUCCUGGACUGGACAAUUACCAGAUUCUUGUACCUUCCAUUGGUGGACAGCCAUUGUUGGACUAGCUGGACCACAGCCUGUAAACCAUUCUAAUAAAUCCCCUUAAUAUAUA
rnacentral:sRNA from 1 species